CAAGCACAGGGCUGCAGGGUAGAACUUGUGAAAAGCAACAUGGUCUGCUGGUGUAGCUGCUGCAGGAGUGACAGCCCUUGUAUUCCAAGGAAGACCAGUGAUCACUGGGACUGGGAAGUUUUCACAGUAAUAUCCUAGAACAUUUGGAUAUUUGUACUGCUGCAACACAGAAAAUUCCCCAUUGAAAGGAAUCUUAAAAGUGCGUAAUUCUUUACUUCUGUAACUUUUCAAGGACAAUAUGGCCAUCUUUCAGCAACAUUUUUUUGAAGACUUGUUUCCAAUUAGGCUAGCAGCUGAGAUUUGGAAGUAGGAAUCUACCACAGGAGAGAGAAAACACUCUGCCUUAUGAGCAAAGAGGUAUGUUGGAAACCCACUGUCUUCCUGGGUCCAGUAUUCUCAGUGGCCAUUUCUUCUGCUAAGGAGUUUCCUGAAAUGUGCUAGUGGGCUUGUUUUCUUUUUUAUUUUCUUUAAAUUUGUUGAUUCUUUUUAGUCAUGCAUGACAGCAGAACUCAUUUUGAUAUAAUUAUACAAGCAUGGAGGAUACCUCUUAGGAUUCCAUUCUUAUGGAUGUACCUGAUGGUGGAUUCUCUGUGUUGUUUUCAUAUAUGUACAUGGGAAAAUUAUGCCAGAUUAAUUUCACUGUUGUUACUUUUUCCUAUCCCUGCUUCCUUCCUGCCUGUGUCACUCUGUCCCCCUGGACUGAGCCCUAUCAUCAAACCUCACACCUGGAUGCCUGACACAGCCCAUCACCUAUGCUUCUCACAGGGUGGCCCCAGCUGAGGGAGGAGGGCUGAAGGUGACUGUGCUCCAGUUUGUGUAGGAGAAACUGAGGCAAAAGGUGGGAAGGGAGGUGGGGGGGAGGGUGUGGGGUGGCAGGGCCCCUCUCUCCCCAUCUAUCUGCCAUGAACCCAAGAAUAGGAAGAGACAGGUGAGGUUGCCAGGAUGCUGAGGGCCCAUGGUGUGAGCCUACUCUGCCUAGGGUGCUGGACCACACCCCAGUGAGGCAGGGCCUGGCCUGAGGGAGGACACUUGACCAGUGGGGCAGGGCAGGGCUGUGGCUCCUCACAGACUCCAGAGCUCUGGCUUCCACUCUGCAGGGCUCUCCAUGCAUCACAGCACCUCUUUGGCCCAUGCCUAGCAGCAGAAAACCUAGUGGUGCCCUUUGUGACAUCAGAGGGCCACCCCUGAACAUCACAGGCAGGAUGUGUGCUAACAGAGGGGGGCUCAACCACCUGAGUCGAGGAAGAAGGGCUCUUUCCAGAGUGUACUCACCCACACAGAAGGGUCAAGCUCUCUCAUCAUGACUUUGAGCCCUCCAACCCAGUGGAACUAGCUUACCACCCUAACCUCCAGCAGGAUCUCAUGCUACAGUGUGAACAAUGAGCAGGGGUGCCGUGGACCAGGCUCUCACAUUCAAGGUCUGGCCACAUGGCUAGGGAACAGCAGCCACUAGCCAUGCUUCCCCCCUCCCCUAGACCCAGCCAGUUGCCUACUGGGAUUGAGGGAUACCCAGGGUCAGGUUUGGCUAACUCUGGCCUUAAAGGCCAAUUGUAAUCAUUUCAGAACUGACUUGCUUUUUUAAAUGACACGUUCACUUCCCAAUAGUUCUCAUACCUCCCACCCCCCUUUCCCUGCCAGCCCUCCGCUGCUCAGCUUUCAUUUCUCUCUGGGACCAAGGUUUUAGCUUUGCAUGCUGAGAUCUCCUCAUGGGCAUAAAUGCCAAUGCCAACCUUACUAGAAGAACCCACCAGAAAAUCUUUUCUUGGUUCCAAAGUGUCUGCCCCUGGUGACCAGGGCUCUUUCACUGCAUUUCUGAGACCAGAGAACAGUCAGGCUCUGGGGGAAUGGCCCAUGGGGAUAAGAGACCAGGAAUGGUUUAGUUACAGAAUCUCAGCCAGUUCCAAUGGCAGGUGCAGGGACAGCUGUAGCCAAGGGCAAGGGACAUGUCAAGCAGGACAUGCCAGGGCAAACUCGAUGUGUCUGUCAGUCUAUCCAUCUCUGGGCUGGUGGUUCCUGAAGCUUUGGCUGUAUUAAGGGACCCCAAGUGUGAAAGUGGAGGGGCCACAGGGCCCAGAACCCAGGCAGUAGUACUCAGAGUGGCCUUUGAAGUCAGAGCACUGGGGAUCAAACCUGACUCAACCAUGUGGCAAAUUACCAAAAGCAAAUGAGCCUCUGUUUUCUCAUCUCUUAAUUGGAGUAUUGAGGUCCCCUUCUGAAUAUCGGGGGAAACUAAUUAGAAUAAAUGAAGUAGAACCAGGAAAGCCCUAAAGGUGGCUGAAAAGACACAGGCAGUCUGCAUAGGGCAAGCUAUUGCUAAUGUUACGAUCAUUAACUUCUUGGUCAGUGUCCCACACUUUUCCUGGAAAGGGCCAGGGAGAAUAUAUCAGGCUUUGAGGGACACAAAAUCUGUCCCAUGACCACAUUCUGCUGUCCUUGAUGUGUGAACUCAUGGGGCAUACUCCCCUCAACCUGCUUUGGGGUGCAGAGCCCACCCCUAUCACAGAAGGGCAUGGGUGAGGGGUGGUUGUGAUCUGUAAUCAGAAGGCAGAUGCCUCCUGCCCUGCCAUACACACAAGUGGGAUGGAGCAAUUUGUACACCCUGCCCCUGGAGGACUUGGAAGGAAAACCCAAGUGAGAAGGGGCUCUAUUCCUUGAUAGAAGGACUUAGAAACAGAGAGAAUACCCCAAAUUGGGAAAGCUCAGUUUUGACUUCCUCGAGGUGGGAGGGACUCCCGUCUUGGACAGUCAUGUGCCCAGCUACAAGUCAGGUGGUGGGUGCUUGCUAUAGUUUGGAUCUGACAUGUCCCCAAAGGCCUAUGUGGUUAAGGUGUCCUUAGUCUGUGCUGCUAUUGGCAGGCGGAACAUUUGGGAGACAGGGCCUAUGGAAGGAAGAGAGAUUGUGGGAGGCAGGGCUCUGAAGGGGAUGUGGGACCCUGCUCCCUUUUGAUCUCUUUUUUGUUUCCCAGCCACCAUGAGUCAAAUAGCUUACUCCAAAUGUGCUCCUUCCUGCCACAGUGACUGUACCACCACAGGCCCCAAACGACAGGGCCAACCACCAUGGACUGAAACCUCUGAAACCAUGAGCCAAAAUAAACCUAUACUCCCUAUAAAUUGGUUAUCAAGGGUCAUAGUCACAGUGAGAGAAGGCUGACUAACCCAGUCCCCCAAUAGAGAAAAGGACGAUGUUACUGGGAGACCAAAGGCUGCCCACAUCUCAGCCCUAAUGUUCCCUCCCAUUCCCAGCCACUCCCUGCCAGAGUCCACACUGCAUGAGAGUCUGUCCACAGAUCAAUCAUAUUAGGCAGUUCCUCAUUCUGGGACCAGCUGAAAUUCAUAGGCCAUAGGGUGCUGUUCAUUCAAUGUGCAGGCAAAUGGCUGGUGGAAAUUCAUCCCUAACACUGACUGAGGUUUUCAGGCAGGAGGUGAAAGGUCAGAGACCUGGAAAAACAAGAAUAAGAUUCAAAAUGAGUGCAGGAGAGGUGGGGAACAGACUAUAUAAAUUUUACAGUCUUAAAAUAUAUUCUGAAAUAAUGUUCCAGAACAGUGGCGCCAUAUGUAUGAAUCCAAGAACAGUAUGGAAGAGUCCACACAAGUACACACUCAGUGGCCUCCACACCUAUAUUUACCCCCAAGGUGUAGGGGAAAAUGCAUCCGUGAUCCAAUGACCACAUAAAAACCCAUGGGAAGAAGAGGAACUCAUCUAUUCCUCACCACGUGAGCCCCAGGGGCAUUGCAUCUGAUGGUGGAAUUCAAAAGCACCUCCUGCAUAUCUACCUGGCAAAGACUCAGACCAAGUACGAAAGUCUAGGUGAUGCAGAUACUGUGAGACCAGCACUCCUCACCCUGCUUGGGGAAAUAUAUGACAGUACCACUUUUCAGGAGCAUCAUUUUGUCUCAGAUAUUAAAGCCAUGUGAAGUAUACAUAGCUUUUAUGCAGUAAUUCUGCCUCUGGGAUGUUCAAAAGGAUAUGAUCAGAGAUGCUGACAGACACGUAUAUACCAAAUGUUCAUUGCAGCAUUACUCACCAUGGACCCCAAAGGAAAGCAACUUAAAUGCCCUCUCUUAAAUGCCUGCAAUGAACACUGGUAGGAAACAGUACAGGAAAGAGGUGUACUACACAACAAAUCUCUUACUGCAUUAAAAGUCACCCAGCAGAAGGAGUCUGGGUGCCCCCAAACAAAGGACCAAAGGGCUCUUCAAGGUUUUGCUCUCCCAUCUGCCUUCUCCCAGUCUCUCCUGCUCAGUGAGCAGCAGGCCUGUCCCCCAGUUCUUUAAGUCUCAAAUGCAGAAUGUGUUCUCCAUUCCUUCUUUCACUUUCCUGAGACAGGCACUCCCUCUGGAAGUCCCGCAGGGGCUAGUUUUCAGCCAUUGCCUCUGGCACAUCAGCCUGUCUUCUCCCAGCCCUCCUCCAAUCCUCGCCUGUACCCCAGCCUUUCCUUCUUUACCCUAUGCCAUCCUGCCUCUCCCCUACUUCCUUUCUCUGCCCUCCUUCUCUCCCCAUCAUACCCACUGUACUCUCUUCCUCCCCUCUACUCCUGGACCCCUUCCAUUCUCCCUUCCUCCUCCUCCAGCUCCUUCACCCUCCCCACCUCUUGCCCCUCCUCUCCCUGCUGCCUCCUAACCCUUCUCCUCUCCUCACUCCUCCCUUCCUUCCUUCCAUCUUUCUAGCCCCCUUGCUAUCUACUCCUUCCUCUCCCUGGCCCCUGCUCUUCCUAGUGUAGUCUGCAGCAGGUUUCCUCUCUCAGGGGUGGCUCUGGGGACUUCCUCCUCUGGGAAUGGUUUGUCUCCAAUCCAGAGCCCACUGUGCACCUUUAACCAUCUCUGCAAUUCAAGUCGAUGCCCUGGAUUCUGGCUGGGAACUCCAGCAGAUUCCCCACCCCUGAGAACAAAGACAGAACCCCUCCUCUGCAACUGAAUUUGGAAUAGUGAGGGACAGAAGGGGCAGCCAGGCAAGAUCUGCCAUUCCUUAGCCCUCCUAGACAUUCCUUGGGCUCCUCAGGAACCAUGAGGAAGCCCCAUGAUGGUUUCCCAAGCCACUCUUUCACUGCCUAAGAUGGAAACACUGGAACCUGGGAACCUGGAACUUACCCUGGAAAAUAGCUCCUCCCAGCCGCCCCUCCAUUCUUCCAGGCUGCUCCCUCCAUACAUCCUCCCUGGAUUCCCAAAAUGUCUGGCUCACUGCUCAGCACUCCAUGGAAACUCAGGUAGCUGAAGGACCCAUCCCGGAGUCAGGACUUUUAUAGGGACAGUCUUGUGCCACUGCUCUAGAGAGAUUAAAGUGUCACCAUUGCAAGACUGAACUCCUUGUGUGAUAUAGUCAAACAAUGGAGUGGCACCUUCACUACCCUGAGUCCCAUCAUGGACUCUUCACAGGGCUUUCUUAUGUAAUUCUGGAUGUCUCUGCAGGAUGAGCAUGGGCUGAUGGCUCUUCCUGUCAAUGGUUCCCUUCUGAAGAUAGCAACUGUGGACUGUCAGUGUCAGUUCACACAAAAGGUCUGCCUGUUUGUCCCCCCAAGGCAGCUUAGAGUCUUGUCCCAUUGGAAUACUUUGAGCCAUGUGUUGCUGUUGGGGGACCCCAGCAGGUCUCUGAAGUCACUCCUCUCUCGCACAUUCCCACUAUGACAUUACUACCCACUCUUCCAACACUGCAAGGAAGAUGCAUAAGAAUGAAAUAUCUGAUCAUCAAUGGAGCACCAAAUUUGUUAUAAGAUUUGUGAGAAACAGAAAUGUAUUAAGAAUUUAUUGAGAUGCAUCUUAUCCCAGAAAUGUGGGAGCAAGAACAGACAAAAGCAGGGCAGAGGCAGGUGUCCUAGGAAAGUCUCUGCUGUCUCUUUCAGGUGGAGUGGAGGAGCCCACUGGUGUCCAGGUGGCUUCAGGUGUCCUCCUGACUGGAAUCUGUAAGAAGGAGGCCAGCAAGUCACACAUCUCCAUCCAUCAGCUGUUUCACAUAAGCAAGACCCUGUGUGGUCUGUCUGAGGACACAGAUACAUGAAUUACCAAGAGAUAAUCACCCAUGGCACAUAGAUUUACCUAAACACCACUGCAUCCCACAAUGUAUAUGGUAAUGA
rnacentral:lncRNA from 1 species